rnacentral:rRNA from 1 species
AUUGAACGCUGGCGGCAGGCCUAACACAUGCAAGUCGAGCGGAUGAAGGGAGCUUGCUCCUGGAUUCAGCGGCGGACGGGUGAGUAAUGCCUAGGAAUCUGCCUGGUAGUGGGGGAUAACGUCCGGAAACGGGCGCUAAUACCGCAUACGUCCUGAGGGAGAAAGUGGGGGAUCGUCGGACCUCACGCUAUCAGAUGAGCCUAGGCCGGAUUAGCUAGUUGGUGGGGUAAAGGCCUACCAAGGCGACGAUCCGUAACUGGUCUGAGAGGAUGAUCAGUCACACGGGAACUGAGACACGGUCCAGGCUCCUACGGGAGGCAGCAGUGGGGAAUGUUGGACAGUGGGCGAGAGCCUGAUCCAGCCAUGCCGCGUGUGUGAAGAAGGUCUUCGGAUUGUAAAGCACUUUAAGUUGGGGGGAAGGGCAGUAAGUUGAUACCUUGCUGUUUUGACGUUACCGGCAGAAUAAGCACCGGCUAACUACGUG